rnacentral:rRNA from 1 species
GUAGGGAAUCUUCCACAAUGGGCGAAAGCCUGAUGGAGCGACGCCGCGUAGAGGAUGAAGGUCUUCGGAUUGUAAACUCUUUUCGUUUGGGAACAAGUGUAUCUGCGUGAAUAAUGCAGGUAUUUGAUGGUACCAAAGGAAGAAGCUACGGCUAACUCUGUGCCAGCAGCCGCGGUAAUACAGAGGUAGCGAACGUUGUCCGGAUUUACUGGGCGUAAAGGGAUCGUAGGUGGUCACAUAAGUCGGGUGUGAAAUCGUAUUGCUUAACAAUACAAUUGCAUUUGAUACUGUGUGGCUUGAGUGCAGGAUGGGUAAAUGGAAUUUCCGGUGUAGCGGUGAAAUGCGUAGAUAUCGGAAAGAACACCCGUGGCGAAGGCGGUUUACUGGCCUGCAACUGACACUGAGGAUCGAAAGCCAGGGGAGCAAACGGGAUUAGAUACCCCAGUAGUCC